rnacentral:rRNA from 1 species
CCUACGGGAGGCAGCAGUGAGGAAUAUUGGUCAAUGGGCGAGAGCCUGAACCAGCCAAGUCGCGUGAGGGAGUACUGCCCUAUGGGUUGUAAACCUCUUUUGUCGGGGAGCAAAAGCCGGACGUGUUCGGCUGUGAGAGUACCCGAAGAAAAAGCAUCGGCUAACUCCGUGCCAGCAGCCGCGGUAAUACGGAGGAUGCGAGCGUUAUCCGGAUUUAUUGGGGUUAAAGGGUGUGCAGGCGGAUUUUUAAGUCAGCGGUCAAAUCGUGGGGCUCAACCCCAUCCAGCCGUUGAAACUGGGGAUCUAGAGUGUGCGAGAGGUAUGCGGAAUGCGUGGUGUAGCGGUGAAAUGCAUAGAUAUCACGCAGAACCCCGAUUGCGAAGGCAGCAUACCGGUGCACAACUGACGCUCAGGCACGAAAGCGUGGGUAUCGAACAGGAUUAGAUACCCUUGUAGUC